CCCACAUAUAAAUGUGCCUGAGAUAUUUUAGAGUUCAGUCUCUUAAAACAAUAAAAGAAGCAGCUACAUUUUAUUUUAAUCUUUAAAAACAAGAAAUAAGUUAUUAGCUUAAGAGCUACGUUUAGUUUAAUUUAAUAACCCACGGUUCUAGUGUAAAAAGGGUUAAAUCCCGGGUGAGCUGAAGGCAUCACUCUCAGCCAAUGAGCUGCGGCUAAAUGCUGCAUGUCCCGCCCAUCUUCUCUGUCUCGGACUGCAGGCCCUCGUUAGUUCUUUUCGGCUGCAGAACACGAUCAGAACACCAGCGGAGAAAGUAGGCACGGCGUUUCGGAAAAAAAAAGAGGUACAAAAUGAAGUGUUAGAUGUCUUUGCGAAUGUUAAACAUAAUUUUAUGCAUGUUUACUCCUAAAGAGCCAUAGGUUAAAAGAUAUUUAUUAGUUUCGGUUCUUUUUACACUUCUAGUUGUAGAAGGCCAGAGCUUAGAGGCGGCGCCAUUUUAUGCUGUUGUGCUGCCCAUUCGUGGAAUCGGUCAGGUUUUUUGUGACAUAUGAACAUUCUGAUGUUGAUGGCGAGCCAGUCCCGUGGAUGAACCAGAUCAGCAGCGACUUCCUCCAUCCUUGCUGCACGGUGGAGUGUGGUAGGAGUGAAAAAAAAAAGAAAAAAACCAAAGGGAUCCCACCACGCCAAUUCCCUCUCCUUGCAUCUUUUACGUACACCUACAUAUUCCCUUGGACUCUUGGACAUCCCGCCUUAUUAUUUAGGACUAUUUUCUUUUUGUUUUGGACUAUCCACAUCGUUACACGAGGACUGAUUUGGUGUGUUUCAGGUCGGAGCCAUUCCAACAAAAGUUGAGGUUUUGUUGCAGGAAGCUGAAAAUUUUACCCUGUCAGACAGACAUUGUAUGUUGAACUGGUACUGAUCCAAUCUGAAAGAUUGAGUUACUAAAAAGGGUGCACCCA